UGUUUCGGAGUUGAUGUUUGGACAGGACUGCGAAUACAAAAGACACAAGGGAUUCUGCAGUGAGAAGGCAAGAAAUGAGCACUGCACAAAUGCUGGCAGUCCAGAUUGAAGAUGCUCCCUAAUGUCUCUGUGCAUCCAUCCCCACCUGUACAAAUGAUGCAUUUUCCUAGCAAGGAGGACUUCAGGCACUCUGCACCUCAGCUUGCUUUGUGUUCUGACUACAUUAGAAGCUCAUCUCUAAGGGUUCGACAUAGCAGAAGAGAAUGUAACGUUUCAAUAAAACAUAAAAUAAUCGGCUCA
rnacentral:lncRNA from 1 species